rnacentral:lncRNA from 1 species
CCUUUUUGUGCAUUGUUUCAUCUGUCUGAUUCACCUACCAUUUGUUAUACUUGUUUCUUUCAUCCAUGCUUCUAUUGUUUGAUUAUUUAACAUAUUCAUACUUCCCAUACAUUGUUUAAAGCUCCAUUAUUUCAUUAUUCGAUUCUUUGACUUGAUCAUACACUUGUUUACUUAUCUAUUGUUUGAUAACUGUUGCCUACUUGUAUGAUGUAUGAGGCAUAUAUUCUUAUUGUUUGGUUG